CCUACGGGAGGCAGCAGUCGAGAAUCAUUCACAAUGGGGGAAACCCUGAUGGUGCGACGCCGCGUGGGGGAAUGAAGGUCUUCGGAUUGUAAACCCCUGUCAUGUGGGAGCAAAUUAAAAAGAUAGUACCACAAGAGGAAGAGACGGCUAACUCUGUACCAGCAGCCGCGGUAAUACAGAGGUCUCAAGCGUUGUUCGGAAUCACUGGGCGUAAAGCGUGCGUAGGCUGUUUCGUAAGUCGUGUGUGAAAGGCGCGGGCUCAACCCGCGGACGGCACAUGAUACUGGGAGACUAGAGUAAGGGAGGGGGAACCGGAAUUCUCGGUGUAGCAGUGAAAUGCGUAGAUAUCGAGAGGAACACUCGUGGCGAAGGCGGGUUCCUGGACAUUAACUGACGCUGAGGCACGAAGGCCAGGGGAGCGAAAGGGAUUAGAUACCCCAGUAGUC
rnacentral:rRNA from 1 species